rnacentral:rRNA from 1 species
GAGCGCUGUAGCAAUACAGAGCGGCGCACGGGUGAGUAACACGUGGGAACGUGCCCUUUGGUUCGGAAUAACUCAGGGAAACUUGAGCUAAUACCGGAUGAGCCCUAACGGGGAAAGAUUUAUCGCCAUUGGAGCGGCCCGCGUUGGAUUAGCUAGUUGGUGGGGUAAUGGCCUACCAAGGUAACGAUCCAUAGCUGGUUUGAGAGAACGACCAGCCACACUGGGACUGAGACACGGCCCAGACUCCUACGGGAGGCAGCAGUGGGGAAUCUUGGACAAUGGGGGAAACCCUGAUCCAGCCAUGCCGCGUGAGUGAUGAAGGCCCUAGGGUUGUAAAACUCUUUCGGCGGGGACGAUAAUGACGGUACCCGCAGAAGAAGCUCCGGCUAACUUCGUG